UACAGAGGAGCCAAGCGUUGUCCGGAUUGACUGGGCGUAAAGCGCACGCAGGCGGAUGCGCGCGUGGGGUGUGAAAUCUGGCCGCUUAACGGCCAGGCGCCAUCCCAUACGGCGCGUCUGGAGUGAUGCAGAGGUCGGUGGAAUUGCCGGUGUAGGGGUGAAAUGCGUAGAGAUCGGCAGGAACACCCAGGGGGAAACCAGCCGACUGGGCAUCUACUGACGCUGAGGUGCGAGAGCGUGGGGAGCGAACAGG
rnacentral:rRNA from 1 species